UACAGAGGUCCCAAGCGUUGUUCGGAUUCACUGGGCGUAAAGGGUGCGUAGGCGGUCGGGUAAGUCUGAUGUGAAAUCUCACAGCUUAACUGUGAAACUGCAUUGGAUACUAUCCGGCUCGAGGAAUGGAGGGGAGACUGGAAUUCCUGGUGUAGCGGUGAAAUGCGUAGAUAUCAGGAGGAACACCGGUGGCGAAGGCGGAUCUCUGGGCCAUAACUGACGCUGAGGAGCGAAAGCAUGGGGAGCGAACAGG
rnacentral:rRNA from 1 species